GGGUGUUUAGCUCAGUUGGUUCAGGCGCUACUUUGACAGAGUAGAGGUCACUGGUUCGAGCCAGUAAUACCCA
rnacentral:tRNA from 1 species